rnacentral:rRNA from 1 species
CUAAGUUUGAUGGCGACCGGCGCACGGGUGAGUAACACGUAUCCAACCUGCCGAUGACUCGGGGAUAGCCUUUCGAAAGAAAGAUUAAUACCCGAUGGCAUAGUUCUUCCGCAUGGUGGAACUAUUAAAGAAUUUCGGUCAUCGAUGGGGAUGCGUUCCAUUAGGCAGUUGGUGGGGUAACGGCCCACCAAACCUUCGAUGGAUAGGGGUUCUGAGAGGAAGGUCCCCCACAUUGGAACUGAGACACGGUCCAAACUCCUACGGGAGGCAGCAUG